UAAUCGAAAAGAUUGCAUUGGGAUAAGGAGGACAGUCUCCUUAUGUGAAGAGAACUUAAUCCUAAGUUAGGAUAAGGGUUGGAGUUUGCAUUGAGAAAGGACUCGAAGUGUGAACGGAUAAGAAAUGGAGUCUUAAUCAAACUCUAACUGCUAACUCAAUAUAUGAUUGAGUUAUUUCUAUUUUCAGGCAACACACACAAGAAGAAGUAAAAGCAUAUUUGAGAGCUAAAGAGUGAAGUCUGAUUAGCAAGAAAUAUAUGCAAGUUACAAGUGUGGACGCAUAUAGCUACAUGAACCUAGAAAAGAACCAGUUCCAUCUGAUUGUUUUAUUUAUAGUUCAAUUGUAGUAGGUUUAAUAUUGUACCUGUCAGCUUAAUUAGAAGCAAUUGUAUUAGGUACGUUGUGUCAUCACGUUACAGUUAACUUGAUAGUGUCGCAGCAGCUAAGGCUGUCUGCCAUACUAGGAUUAGAGUUUAAUCCUUAGGUUUACAAGAGUUUUAUAAAUGUUGUCUUUGGCUCAUUGAUUUUAGUGGAGUUUGGGAAACUCCUACUGAGUAGUAGGUCGUGGUUUUUUCACCUUUUGAGCCAGGUGUUUUUCACGUAAAAAUAUCUAUGCAUUUUACUUUCAGUUUUUAUUAUUCCGCAAACUGCAGUAGUUUAGAAGAACCAGGUUCUCCUAAUGCGAAAAUUAGGUACGUUUGGCUCAUUGAUUUUAGUGGAGUUUGGGAAACUCCUACUGAGUAGUAGGUCGUGGUUUUUUCACCUUUUGAGCCAG
rnacentral:lncRNA from 1 species